rnacentral:rRNA from 1 species
GAUGAACGCUGGCGGCGUGCCUAAUACAUGCAAGUCGAGCGAACGGACGAGAAGCUUGCUUCUCUGAUGUUAGCGGCGGACGGGUGAGUAACACGUGGAUAACCCACCUAUAAGACUGGGAUAACUUCGGGAAACCGGAGCUAAUACCGGAUAAUAUUUUGAACCGCAUGGUUCAAAAGUGAAAGACGGUCUUGCUGUCACUUAUAGAUGGAUCCGCGCUGCAUUAGCUAGUUGGUAAGGUAACGGCUUACCAAGGCAACGAUGCAUAGCCGACCUGAGAGGGUGAUCGGCCACACUGGAACUGAGACACGGUCCAGACUCCUACGGGAGGCAGCAGUAGGGAAUCUUCCGCAAUGGGCGAAAGCCUGACGGAGCAACGCCGCGUGAGUGAUGAAGGUCUUCGGAUCGUAAAACUCUGUUAUUAGGGAAGAACAUAUGUGUAAGUAACUAUGCACAUCUUGACGGUACCUAAUCAGAAAGCCACGGCUAACUACGUG